rnacentral:lncRNA from 10 species
GCUGGGAUUACAGGCACGCACCACAAUGCCCAGCUAAUUUUUGUAUUUUUAGGAGAGACGGGGUUUCACCAUGUUGGCCAGGAUGGUCUUGAUCUCUUGACCUUGUGAUCCGCCCUCCUCGGCCUCCCAAAGUGCUAGGAUUACAGGCGUGACCCACUGCGCCCAUCCUGGAGCAUGGUUUCUAAUGAAUGGAUAUCACUUUCACACCACCAUAAAGCUGAAAAAUGGUUGAACCAUUGUAACUUGGAAACAGUUUGUAUUCUGGUAUGCACUGUUUUAUUAUCACUAUUCAGAAUAUUUAUGUCUUGUUUUUGUAUUUCCACUGUCAUCCUUGUGUUUGGUUUUUUUUCUUGCUGAUUUGUUCCAAUUCUUUGUAGAUUCUGGAUAUUAGUCCUCUGUUGGAUGCAUAGUUUGUGAAGAUUUUCUCCCACUCUGUGGGUUGUCUGUUUACUCUGCUGAUUAUUUAUUUUGAUGUGCAGAAGGCUUUCAGUUUAAUUAAGUCCCAUCUAUUUAUCUUUGUUUUGUUGUGUUUGCUUUUGGGUUCUUGAUUGUGAAGUCUUUGCCUAAGCCAAUGUCUAGAAGGGUUUUUCCAAUCUUAUCUUCUAGAAUUUUUAUGGUUUCAGGUCUUAGAUUUAAGUCUGUGAACCAUCUUGAGUUGAUUUGUUUAUAAGGUGAGAGAUGAGGAUCCAGUUGCAUUCUUCUACAUGUGGCUUGCCAAUUAUACCAGCACCAUUUGUUGAAUAGGGUGUCCUUUCCCCACUUUAUGUUUUUGCUUGCUUUGUCAAAGAUCAGUUGGCUGAAAGUAUUUGGCUUUAUUUCCAUUGAAUUUGUAGGUUGCUUUUGGCAGUAUGGUCGUUUUCACACUGUUGACUCUAUCAUCCAUGGUGAACAGCAGGGGGUGUGGGUAGGACCCAUGGGAGACAGACGUGUUUCUUCUUUGUGGUCGACUGCAGCUUGUUGGAGGUGUGGAUAAAGCACUGGGGUCUUUGCUCCUUUGUUAGUUCAAGGGUAGCAGGGGUAGUACCACUGUAGAGGCAGUGGCAGAGGGGCUUUUAGUUGACCCUGGGGGUUCCAUCUCCAGGUGGAGCUGCUAUUACUGGGAAUGUUCAGCCUGGGGGAUGGGGCAGCUGUACUGCUGGUGUGAGGUUAGGGCUCUGCUUGUUGGGGAUCAGGGGGUUUAGGGCUCACUGGGAGGAGAGACUGGUCUCCUCUCCAUAUGGGAACUGUGGCAUGCUGUAAGUUCAGGUGCAGCCUUCAGGCGCUUUGUUUCUUUCCAAGCCUGAGGACAGCAUGGAUAGAACUGCUGCUGUGACACGGGC